rnacentral:tRNA from 1 species
GCGACCGGUGGCGGGCGGCGAUGCGACUCGCCCUGGACGAGGCCGAACUGGCCGUCCGGGGCGGGGACGUUCCCGUCGGCGCCGUCGUAC